AACGAACGCUGGCGGCAGGCCUAACACAUGCAAGUCGAACGCUCGUAGCAAUACGAGAGUGGCAGACGGGUGAGUAACACGUGGGAACCUUCCCUAUGGUUCGGAAUAGCUCAGGGAAACUUGAGGUAAUACCGGAUAAGCCCUUACGGGGAAAGAUUUAUCGCCAUUGGAUGGGCCCGCGUCGGAUUAGCUAGUUGGUGAGGUAACGGCUCACCAAGGCGACGAUCCGUAGCUGGCUGAGAGGAUGAUCAGCCACACUGGGACUGAGACACGGCCCAGACUCCUACGGGAGGCAGCAGUGGGGAAUAUUGGACAAUGGGCGCAAGCCUGAUCCAGCCAUGCCGCGUGAGUGACGAAGGCCUUAGGGUUGUAAAGCUCUUUUGGCGGGAAGGAUAAUGACGGUACCCGCAGAUAAGCUCCGGCUAACUUCGUGCCAGCAGCCGCCGUAAG
rnacentral:rRNA from 1 species